rnacentral:rRNA from 1 species
GAUGAACGCUGGCGGCGUGCCUAAUACAUGCAAGUCGAGCGAAAAGACGAGGAGCUUGCUCCUCUGACGUUAGCGGCGGACGGGUGAGUAACACGUGGAUAACCUACCUAUAAGACUGGGAUAACUUCGGGAAACCGGAGCUAAUACCGGAUAAUAUAUUGAACCGCAUGGUUCAAUAGUGAAAGACGGUUUUGCUGUCACUAAUAGAUGGAUCCGCGCCGCAUUAGCUAGUUGGUAAGGUAACGGCUUACCAAGGCGACGAUGCGUAGCCGACCUGAGAGGUGGAUCGGCCACACUGGAACUGAACCACGGCCCAGACUCCUACGGGAGGCAGCAGUAGGGAAUCUUCCGCAAUGGGCGAAAGCCUGACGGAGCAACGCCGCGUGAGUGAUGAAGGUCUUCGGAUCGUAAAACUCUGUUAUUAGGGAAGAACAAAUGUGUAAGUAACUAUGCACGUCUUGACGGUACCUAAUCAGAAAGCCACGGCUAACUACGUG